ACGAACGCUGGCGGCGUGGAUAAGACAUGCAAGUCGAACGGGAGAAUUGCUAGCUUGCUAAUAAUUCUCUAGUGGCGCACGGGUGAGUAACACGUGAGUAACCUGCCUCUUAGUGGGGGAUAGCCCUGGGAAACCGGGAUUAAUACCGCAUACGAUUGAAAGAUCAAAGCAGCAAUGCGCUAGGAGAUGGGCUCGCGGCCUAUUAGUUAGUUGGUGAGGUAACGGCUCACCAAGGCGAUGACGGGUAGCCGGUCUGAGAGGAUGUCCGGCCACACUGGAACUGAGACACGGUCCAGACACCUACGGGUGGCAGCAGUCGAGAAUCAUUCACAAUGGGGGCAACCCUGAUGGUGCGACGCCGCGUGGGGGAAUGAAGGUCUUCGGAUUGUAAACCCCUGUCAUGUGGGAGCAAAUUAAAAAGAUAGUACCACAAGAGGAAGAGACGGCUAACUCUGUGCCAGCAGCCGCGGUAAUACAGAGGUCUCAAGCGUUGUUCGGAAUCACUGGGCGUAAAGCGUGCGUAGGCUGUUUCGUAAGUCGUGUGUGAAAGGCAGGGGCUCAACCCCUGGAUUGCACAUGAUACUGCGAGACUAGAGUAAUGGAGGGGGAACCGGAAUUCUCGGUGUAGCAGUGAAAUGCGUAGAUAUCGAGAGGAACACUCGUGGCGAAGGCGGGUUCCUGGACAUUAACUGACGCUGAGGCACGAAGGCCAGGGGAGCGAAAGGGAUUAGAUACCCCUGUAGUCCUGGCAGUAAACGGUGCACGCUUGGUGUGCGGGGAAUCGACCCCCUGCGUGCCGGAGCUAACGCGUUAAGCGUGCCGCCUGGGGAGUACGGUCGCAAGAUGAAAACUCAAAGAAAUUGACGGGGACCCGCACAAGCGGUGGAGUAUGUGGCUUAAUUCGAUGCAACGCGAAGAACCUUACCUGGGCUUGACAUGUAAUGAACAACAUGUGAAAGCAUGCGACUCUUCGGAGGCGUUACACAGGUGCUGCAUGGCCGUCGUCAGCUCGUGUCGUGAGAUGUUUGGUUAAGUCCAGCAACGAGCGCAACCCCUGUUGCCAGUUACCAGCACGUCAAGGUGGGGACUCUGGCGAGACUGCCCAGAUCAACUGGGAGGAAGGUGGGGACGACGUCAGGUCAGUAUGGCCCUUAUGCCCAGGGCUGCACACGUACUACAAUGCCCAGUACAGAGGGGGCCGAAGCCGCGAGGCGGAGGAAAUCCUGAAAACUGGGCCCAGUUCGGACUGUAGGCUGCAACCCGCCUACACGAAGCCGGAAUCGCUAGUAAUGGCGCAUCAGCUACGGCGCCGUGAAUACGUUCCCGGGUCUUGUACACACCGCCCGUCACAUCAUGGAAGCCGGUCGCACCCGAAGUAUCUGAAGCCAACCGCAAGGAGGCAGGGUCCUAAGGUGAGACUGGUAACUGGGAUG
rnacentral:rRNA from 1 species